rnacentral:pre_miRNA from 1 species
AUGAGCAAGAUGGAGAAGCAGGGCACGUGCAUUACUACUUCAUGCACACAGAAACGAGGAGCUGAUCUCCUUCAGUAAUUGCACCUCUCGCCUUAAAGGCCUGUGUUUGCACAAUGAGUUAGUUCUUCAUGUGCCCCUCUUCCCCAUCAUGACCAC